rnacentral:rRNA from 1 species
AUGGCCGGGGACGCGCGCGCUCGUCCCUACCUUCCAUUCAUCCUGGUCGCCUUGGCCGCCUUCUUGACCGUGACCUCGCGGGCGCAGCCGACGGAGGUCAAGGUGGGGCUCAUCGUCGACGCCGCCUCGCCGGUCGGCAAGGUCGCCACGACCACCAUCCCCAUGGCCCUCGAGGACUUCUACGCCGCCUUCCCCAACUCCUCCGCUCGGGUUCGCAUCCUGCAGCACGACUCCGGUGGGGACGUCGUCGCCGCCGCGUCCGCCGCGUUGCAGCUGAUGACUAGCCAGGGAGCGCGCGCCAUCCUCGGCCCGCAGUCGUCCGUCGAGGCGGCCUUCGUCGCCGACCUCGCCACGCGGGCCGAGGUCCCCGUCGUCUCCUUCUCGGCCACCAGCCCGUCGGUCUCGCCCGCCUCGGCGAGCUUCUUCGUCCGCGCCGCGCUGAGCGACGCGGCGCAGGCCGGCGCCGUCGCCGCGCUCGCCACGCACUUCGGGUGGCGCCGCGUCGUGCCCAUCUACCAGGACGACGACUACGGCGCCGCCUUCGUGCCCUUCCUCGUGGACGCCCUCGCCGACGCGCGCGCCGAGGUCCCAUACCGCUGCGCGCUCCCGGAAGGGGCGACCCACGUCGCCAUCGCCGCGGAGCUGUACCGCAUGGAGUCCGAGCAGACGCGCGUCUUUGUGCUGCACACGCGCGCCGGGCUCGCGAAGAAGGUGUUCGCCGCCGCCGCGGAGGCGGGCAUCACGGGCGCCGGCUACGCGUGGAUCAUCACGGACGGGCUCACGGGCCUCAUCGGCUUCGUCGACCCGCCGCAGGGCGUCAUCGGGCUCGCGCCCUACGUGCCGACCACGCCGCGGCUGCGCGACGUCAAGAAGCGGUGGGCGCACCGGUACAUGCGUGACCACCCGGACGACGAGCCGGCGCACGCCGUGGUGGGCUGCUACGCCGUGUGGGCGUACGACGCCGCAUGGGCCGUCGCGUCCGCGGCAGAGCGACUCAGCUCCGGCGACCUAUCAUCGCCGCCGGGGCUGGUGGGCGGCAAGGGCGGCCCCACCGACAUCUCCGGGCUCGGCAAGUCAAGAUCAGGCGAGAAGCUCCUCCGAGCUAUCAACGACACGACAUUCGAGGGCCUCGGCGGCCGGUUCGAGCUCAUCGACGGCGAGCUCGCGGUGCCGGCGUUCCGCGUGUUAAACAUCGACGAUGGGAAAGCGAAGGGCAUCGGGUUCUGGACGCCGCGGCACGGGCUGAGCCGACAUGUCGGUCGCGGUUCCAGCAAAGCGGGCGGCGAGCUCUCGCCGUUCAUCUGGCCGGGAGAGUCGACGGUCCGGCCAAGUGGGUGGGCGCAGCCGACGAGCGCCGCGAAGCUGCGGGUGGCGGUGCCGGGGAGGAUCCCGCCCAGCUACCCGGCGAUCAUGCACAUUGACGUGGACCCGGUGACGAACCGGACGACGGCCGGCGGGUUCGUGAUCGAGGCGUUCGAGGCGGCGGUGCGGCUGCUUCCCUACGCUCUGCCCUUCGAAUACGUGAAGGCGGACCCCAUGCCCUACGACCAGUUGGCCGAGGCGGUUAACAAUGGGACAUACGACGCGCUGGUGGCGGACAUGACCAUCACGGCGAAGCGGUCGGAGCACGUGGACUUCACGAUGCCUUUCAUCGCCACGUCUAUCACCAUGAUUGUACCGCUACGCGACCAACGGAGCAGCAACAAGUGGACGUGGGUCUUCCUCAAGCCGCUCCGCUAUGACCUCUGGCUCAUCAGCGCCGCCUUCUUCAUCUUCACCGGUUUCGUGGUCUGGGCCAUCGAGCGCCGCGACAAUGAGAGGUUCGAAGGGACGCCAUCGAACCAAGCAGGCACCAUGCUCUACUUUGGCUUCUCCACCCUCGUCUUCACCCACAACGAGAAGCUCAAAAGCAACUUGUCGAGGGUGGUGGUGGUGGUGUGGGUCUUCGUGGUGCUCAUCCUGCAGUCCAGCUACACCGCCAGCCUCACCUCCCUGCUCACGGUGCCGCAGAUCGGGCCGACCAUCGUGGACUACCGCACGCUGCUGCUGGGCACGGAGAAGGUGGGGAUCCUCAACAACUCCUUCACGCCGCAGGUCAUAAACCAGUCUGGGCUCCCGCAGGACAGGGUGGUGCGGUACCCGAACGCGUCGAGCUUCCAGGAGGCGUUGUUGAACGGUAGCAUCGGUGCCGUUAUUGACGAGACGCCUUACCUCAACAUCUUCCUCCAGACCUACCGGGACAACUUCACCGUGACUGGCCAGCCCAACAUGACCGAUGGCUUCGCGUUCGCGUUCCCCAGGGGGUCGCCAUACGUGACGGAUCUGUCGCAGGCGAUCCUGAACCUCACGGAGAGCAGCGAGAUGAGUAGGAUCGAGCGCAAGUGGCUCGGCAACCCGGAUGACCACAGGUCACAAGGCGGCGGGCCGUUCACGACGAACCAUCUCAGCUUCAGCAGCUUCCGAAGCCUGUUUGUCAUCACCGGCGCCACCUCGCUCAUUUGCCUCACCAUCCACCUCGCUUUCUUCCAUAAGGAGGGCUACUGGCUGCCCCUCCCGUGGGUCAUGUCACGCCCAUCGUGGAAGGUCAGGCUCUGGAUGUUGGCCAAGCUCUUUGACAGAAAGGUUUAUAGUGAAACUAUGCCCGGCCGGAACCAGAAUGAUGUGGGAGCGGUUGCCUCCCCUCAUACAUCGGACCAUGUGAGCAUCGUUGGCAGACUGCCCAGCAUGCCACACACCAGCGAGGGGUCGGUUGAGAUGGCAACCCGGACAACUAGUGAGAUCGAGCCGGUCGCCGGCGGCUAG